UCAGCAAUGAUUCUUAGUGGCGAACGGGUGAGUAACGCGUAGACAACCUGCCUUCUAGAUGGGGACAACACUGCGAAAGUGGUGCUAAUACCGAAUGUUGUAUUAAGCCUGCAUGGGCUUGAUACUAAAGGUGGCCUCUAUUUAUAAGCUAUCACUAGAAGAUGGGUCUGCGUCUGAUUAGCUAGUUGGUGAGGUAAUGGCUCACCAAGGCGAUGAUCAGUAGCCGGUCUGAGAGGAUGAACGGCCACACUGGGACUGAGACACGGCCCAGACUCCUACGGGAGGCAGCAGUGGGGAAUCUUCCGCAAUGGACGAAAGUCUGACGGAGCAACGCCGCGUGAGUGAAGAAGGUUUUCGGAUCGUAAAGCUCUGUCUUUGAGGACGAAUGUGUCUAAUGUGAAUAAUGUUAGAUAAUGACGGUACUCGAGGAGGAAGCCACGGCUAACUACGUGCCAGCAGCCGCGGUAAUACGUAGGUGGCAAGCGUUGUCCGGAAUUAUUGGGCGU
rnacentral:rRNA from 1 species